rnacentral:rRNA from 1 species
AAACAGUGGCUAAGACUGGAUAGGAAGAUAAAAGGCAUCUUUUAUCUUUUAAAAGACCUAGUAAUAGGUAUGCUUUAGGAGGGGCUUGCGCCAUAUUAGUUAGUUGGUAGGGUAAUGGCCUACCAAGACGAUGAUGUGUAGCUGGACUGAGAGGUUGAACAGCCACAUUGGGACUGAGACACGGCCCAAACUCCUACGGGAGGCAGCAGUAGGGAAUUUUCGGCAAUGGAGGAAACUCUGACCGAGCAACGCCGCGUGAAUGACGAAGUACUUCGGUAUGUAAAGUUCUUUUAUCAAGGAAGAAAAGCAAAUGGCGAACCAUUUGUUUGCCGGUACUUGAUGAAUAAGCCCCGGCUAAUUAUGUGCCAGCAGCCGCGGUAAGACAUAAGGGGCAAGUGUUAUCCGGAAUUAUUGGGCGUAAAGGGUGCGUAGGCGGUCUAGUAAGUCAGUGGUGUAAUGGCAACGCUUAACGUUGUCCGGCUAUUGAAACUGCUAAACUUGAGUUAGAUAGAGGCGAGUGGAAUUCCAUGUGUAGCGGUAAAAUGCGUAAAUAUAUGGAGGAACACCAGAGGCGUAGGCGGCUCGCUGGGUCUUAACUGACGCUGAGGCACGAAAGCGUGGGGAGCAAACAGGAUUAGAUACCCUGGUAGUCCACGCCGUAAACGAUGAGUACUAAGUGUCGGGUUAAACCGGUACUGAAGUUAACACAUUAAGUACUCCGCCUGAGUAGUACGUACGCAAGUAUGAAACUUAAAGGAAUUGACGGGACUCCGCACAAGCGGUGGAUCAUGUUGUUUAAUUCGAAGAUACCCGAAAAACCUUACCAGGUCUUGACAUGUUUUUGCAAAAUGAUAGUAAUAUCGUGGAGGUUACCAGAAACACAGGUGGUGCAUGGUUGUCGUCAGCUCGUGUCGUGAGAUGUUAGGUUAAGUCCUAAAACGAGCGAAACCCUUAUCGUUAGUUGCCAGCACGUUAUGGUGGGGACUUUAACGAGACUGCCAAUGAUAAAUUGGAGGAAGGUGAGGAUCACGUCAAAUCAGCAUGCCCCUUAUGACCUGGGCUACAAACGUGAUACAAUGGCUGUUACAAAGGGUAGCUGAAACGCAAGUUCUUGGCCAAUCCCCAAAAACAGUCCCAGUCCGGAUUGAAGUCUGCAACUCGACUUCAUGAAGUUGGAAUCGCUAGUAAUCGCGAAUCAGCAUGUCGCGGUGAAUACGUUCUCGGGGUUUGUACACACCGCCCGUCAAACCACGAAAGUUGGCAAUACCCCAAAACGGUAGCCUAACUCGUUUAUUCGAG